GAAAAUCUUAGUAGGCCAUUUUGUUAUAUCUGACUUGAACGUGAAAAUUUUCGCCAGCAAAGUUUCAAUUUUCAGUGGCAUAGCUGCAAUAAAAAAAUAAAAUCUAAUUUCAGAUUAUUAAAAACCAACCAAAACAGGAAUAAAAUGGGUCGCAAGAAGAAGAAGGCCUCGAAACCAUGGUGCUGGUACUGCAAUCGUGAAUUUGACGAUGAAAAGAUUUUGGUGCAACAUCAGAAGGCGAAACAUUUCAAGUGCCACAUUUGUCACAAGAAAUUAUAUACAGGGCCCGGUUUAUCGAUCCACUGUAUGCAAGUGCAUAAAGAAACUGUAGACAAGGUACCCAACUCUUUGCCCAAUCGCUCAAAUAUUGAGGUAGAAAUAUUCGGGAUGGAUGGAAUACCAGCGGAGGAUGUGCGCGAGCAUGAACGACAGAAAAAUGGCGGCAAAUCGGAUUCUGACGACGACGAGCCAGCCGCAAAGAAAAAAGUUGAAAUUCCAUUAACGGCACCACCGCCUAUGAUGAUGCCCCCAAACAUGAUGCCACCGAUGAUGGGCCAAUUCGGACCAAUGGGGAUGAUGCCAAAUAUGCCACCUAUGGCACCAAUGCCUCCAUUUUUAGGGCCCGGUGGUAUACCUAUGAUGCCGCCACACAUGAUGCCGCCGCGACCACUUUUUCCGGCAGCAAUGGCUGCCACUACUUCUGCAGCAGCGGUGCAUGCAGCCGCGGUUUCUCAAAAGCCAACUUUCCCUGCGUACAGUAAUGCAACGAUUAGCGCACCGCCAACAACCAAUAACCCCAGUGCCACAGGAAGUACAGCGCCAGCUGAAGCGCCAAAGGCACCCGCAACAGCUCCAAGCGGAACUGCUGCUGGUGUAACGUCAAAAAUCAUGCAUCCACCGGAGGAUAUGAGCUUGGAGGAGUUACGUGCACGGAAACCCAAGUAUCAACAAAAAUUACAGAAUAGCGGAGGCAGCAACAGCCAUCAACAACGCACCACAUCGGCUGGCACGCUCAGUCAUAAUCAUAAUACCGUCGUGAGCAGCACAUCAUCCAUGACAAUUCCAACAAGUUCGAGUACGUCGAGUGCAGCAGCAGCCGCUCAAGCUGCGGCUAUAUCAAAGGCCCAGGAAACUGCUGCAAUGGUAGCGGUUGCACAGGUCCAAGCAGCUCAGGCCCAGGCACAGGCACACGUCCAGGCGCAGGCUCAAGCGCAGGCGCAAGCACAUGCUCAAGCGCAGGCUCAGGCUCAAGCACAGGUGCAGGCAGCUCAAGCACAUGCGCAUGCACACGCAGCAGCACACGCGCAGGCAGCUCAGGUACAAGCACAGGUGGCGCAAGCACAAGCGCACGCACAUGCGCAGGUCGCUCAAGCGGUAGCUGCUCAACAUCAACAACAACAACAAAAGCAAUUGGAAGAUCUCAAUCGUGCUGUGCUUCUUCAGAGGCUACAGGCCGGACGCUCGGGCCAUCCACAAUCGGCACUCGGCGCACCAACUGCAACGGCCGUAGGCAUGAUGCCGUUGCCAGGGCAAAUGCAAUUAAUGCAACCAAUGCUGCGUCCUGCCAUGGCACUGGGACCGCAUGGACCGUUGCUGGGUGGCAAUAUGUUGCGUGCACCAGGCGGUUUGCCCGGAAUGCCAGGUGAGUACAAUAAAACGCUUAUAUAUGUAGAAGUCAACUUAGAGAAGAACAUGAAUGCUAAAAUACUUUUUCAUACGCUGCCAGGUCUGUUGCCAGUACAAGCCAUACAAAUGCCGGGUAUGCCGAUGCCCGGUAUGGGUGUCAUGCUACCAGCCGGUCAUCCUGUACUGCAAAUGAUGCCACGAUUUCGGUGAUCCGCCAAUUUGUUUGUCGACGCCGCUCUUAGAAACUCCGAUGCCGUUAUUAUAUCCACCUGAAAGAUAAAAUUGGAAACAAGCAAUAAUGCAUUUAGCAUCACCCAAAAAAAUUUUCUAAACUAAUGGAAAAUGAAAACAACGGAAACCUCAAUGUCAUAAAAAAGAUUUCAGCGCAGCAAUGCCACCCAGCUGAUUAAAGCAAAAAAACUGGCAAGCGUAUUGUCGUCAACGGAUGAAUGAGCCUAUUAUUUAAGCAGCAUUGUUAUUGUCGCCUUAUACAGAAAACAAGUUUGUACUCUACUUAAUAUCGCCCCUUCACCUAAAGUUUGUUGCUAUAAGCCAUUUUAACUAAAAGCCGUGCCGUCACACAUACUCAUGCACUUAAUAAGUGCACUAGAACCCAGCCAACCACCAAACAGGCAGGCGGAGGGAUGGAGCAGAACUACUGGUCCACGACAACGUUGGUCGAUUGCGAUGAUGCGCUCGAUCUGUAGUUUAUUUUCCGUGUGCAACUGACUAACUUAUAUAGAAAAAAUAAAAUAAAAAUUCGUAAAAGAUAAAAAAGAAAACUCAAACAUACAUACGUAACCGUAGCACACAGCCACUGAGUAAGCAAUCCCUCUUUACUAUAAUUUUCGUUUUUCGUAAUAUUUGUUUAAUAAGUAUAAAAGUUCAAAGCACGCAAUAAUUAGUGUACUAAACAUAUGUAUGGUAUUUAGUAUGUAAAUGACAGAAAACUAAAUCAAGAUUAAUGGAUAAGGCCGUAACCAAGCAGAAAGCUCUACAUACAUAUAUACUACAUAUGUACAUACAUACAACUCAUAUUAAUUUGAUACAUUUCACAGAUUUCAAUAUGCACACAUACAUAGUUCUCGGUGUGCCUCCGAUUGCUGAAUGAGCCGCGAAGUCCUACCAGUGAGGCAUUAGGUAUGUUGCCAGUGUUGUUGUAAUUUGUAUUUUCGUUUGCCGUCCUGCCUUGAUCGUACGUACGUAUGUACUGCUCAUCCUAAAAUGUACCACAUCGUGUCAAAAAAAA
rnacentral:misc_RNA from 1 species